rnacentral:rRNA from 1 species
UGAGGAAUAUUGCGCAAUGGGGGAAACCCUGACGCAGCAACGCCGCGUGAGUGAGGAAGGUUUUCGGACCGUAAAGCUCUGUCGAGCGGGAAGAAAUGCAUGGUGGCUAAUAUCCAUCAUGCUUGACGGUACCGCUAAAGGAAGCACCGGCUAACUCCGUGCCAGCAGCCGCGGUAAUACGGGGGGUGCGAGCGUUGUUCGGAAUUAUUGGGCGUAAAGAGCGUGUAGGCGGCUGAAGAAGUCAGAUGUGAAAUCCCUGGGCUUAACCCAGGACGGGCAUUUGAAACUAUUCGGCUAGAGUAGGGGAGGGGAAAGUGGAAUUCCGGGUGUAGAGGUGAAAUGCGUAGAUAUCAGGAGGAACACCGGUGGCGAAGGCGACUUUCUGGCCCUAUACUGACGCUGAGACGCGAGAGCGUGGGUAGCAAACA